UCUUGUGUUUGGGUAUAGCAACCCUAGGAAAAAUUAGAGGUACAAAUGAUACUACUCUAUAAUUCAACUCUAUGAGGAGAAUUAUUUGAGAAGGUAAUUUGUAUUUUGUCUUAUAUAAUACAAAGAAAUUUAAGUCAUGUAUUAUAUUUUUAUUUUCUUUGGAUAGAUAAAGAAACAAGCAUAAAAUAGAGAAUAUUAAAUGGAAGAAAUUUCUGGUGGUAUUGCCAGUACAAUGGCACUUAAUGCAGAAGUUCUAGAUCUUUACUCGAGUUAAACUAGCUCCCAAGUGGUAGGUCAACAAUAGAUGUUGUUGUGUUCUUUGAACAUCAAUGCUCAUCUUAUAUUUAAAAACAUAAUAUAGGCUAUGCAAUCCUAGGAUUAAUUUGCAUGUCAGUAACCAGUAAGUCUAUUAACCCUACUAACUGCCAGAGACACUGUUGGUUGGUGUGUGCCCAUUUUCCUCCACAGACCAAAAAAAUUCUGGAGAUGCCCAGAUCACCUCAGGAGUGAGGAACACAUGGUGAGGAUAAGAUCUUAGAGAUUUGGUCUGAUUGGAAGAUGACUUUUUUGGCUGGAGAUGGGCAGGUUUUUUCAGCAGUUCAAAUGACUAUCUCCCAACCCCUCACUCCACUUAUGCUUCAUUUCGCUAAGGGUCUUAAUCACUAAGGGCUUUGGACUUGCCAUCUCCAAAGAAGGAGUAGAGAAAUAAAUAGCAGAACAAAAUUUCCUAACUCAACCCUAUAUAUUUUACUUUGAGCCAUGAGAAGAACUAUUUCUUUUUCAAGAAAUAACUAGACACAAUCUCUGUCCCCUUUUCACAAACUGUACCUGUUUAUUACAAUAGUUUCCUGUAUCAAGAUUCGGAGUAUUUCUACCUAAAUAAGCUUUUUCCUAAAUUUUCUUCUAGUUACCUGGAGUUGAUGCCCUCCUCUCUCAUUGAAAGUUUCCUAAGUUUAUAUAGGAGGUCUAGGAACUUUAUGACUGCAGUCUCCAAGGAAAUAUUCUGGACCUGAGGGCCACAGACAGUAGACUGAAACUUCCAAGAAAGGAGUACUAGUUCCCAGGGACUAAGGCUUGAAAAUGAAGUUCAGGCUGAUCUGAGGAGAAUUUCAUCUGUACUCACAAAUGACUGGAUGGAGUCCCACGCUGCCUUAGUGCUGUUGUCUGAGUAGUAACGUCGGAUGCUCUCACUCAGGCCCUCCUCCACAUAGCUAUGCAGCUGGGCAGGGCACAUUCCAACAGAGAAGAUGUUGUAAAAAGCAAUGAAAAUAAAACAGGAACCAGAUUUAUCCUCUCACUUGAAACAACAACAAAUGUACAGAUUAGAAAAUGAUGGCUUACAAGACACUGGAUACAAAACAAUGAAGGAUAGUGACCACCUGAAAGAUGAUGGAACAUGAAUGAAUGUAUGAGUUCUUUGAUUACUCAAGUUUAUGGCAUGGAUGGUUUUGAGACAAUGAGACAGAUAAGGGAAUCCUGGGAGAUUCCAUUGUUAUGGAGACAAAGCU